rnacentral:rRNA from 1 species
UGCAGUCGAACGCUGAACACUCUGCUUGCAGAGUGUGGAUGAGUGGCGAACGGGUGCGUAACACGUGGGGAACCUGCCCAUARGAGGGGGAUAACAUCCGGAAACGGGUGCUAAUACCGCAUAGGUGAUCAUAGCGCAUGCUUAGAUCAUUAAAGAUGGCUUCGGCUAUCGCUUAUGGAUGGCCCCGCGGCGUAUUAGCUAGUUGGUGAGGUAAUGGCUCACCAAGGCUGUGAUACGUAGCCGACCUGAGAGGGUGAUCGGCCACACUGGAACUGAGACACGGUCCAGACUCCUACGGGAGGCAGCAGUAGGGAAUCUUCCACAAUGGGCGAAAGCCUGAUGGAGCAAUACCGCGUGAGUGAAGAAGGUCUUCGGAUCGUAAAGCUCUGUUGUUAGAGAAGAACAAGAGGUGUAGUAWCUGGCACCUCCUUGACGGUAUCUAACCAGAAAGUCACGGCUAACUACGUGCCAGCAGCCGCGGUAAUACGUAGGUGACAAGCGUUGUCCGGAUUUAUUGGGCGUAAAGCGAGCGCAGGCGGUCUUUUAAGUCUGAUGUGAAAGCCCACGGCUCAACCGUGGAGGGUCAUUGGAAACUGGAAGACUUGAAUGCAGAAGAGGAAAGUGGAAUUCCAUGUGUAGCGGUGAAAUGCGUAGAUAUAUGGAGGAACACCAGUGGCGAAGGCGACUUUCUGGUCUGUAAUUGACGCUGAGGCUCGAAAGCGUGGGGAGCGAACAGGAUUAGAUACCCUGGUAGUCCACGCCGUAAACGAUGAGUGCUAAGUGUUGGAGGGUUUCCGCCCUUCAGUGCUGGAGCUAACGCAUUAAGCACUCC